CCUUCUCAAAAACCCAGUCUCUUCUCCCCCUUCUCAAGAAACCAGACUCUCGAAACCCCUCGUUCCCAAUCGCUAAACCGCUCGUGCUUCUCUUCUCUUCCUCUCGCUGCAAUUGUCGCCCCAAUCGCUGAACCAUGCCAUCGCGGCCUCAACAGGGUGUUAUUUAUCCCUUCGAUGGGGAAUGCUGCAUUUGCCUCCAGCCUUUUCAGUUCGGGGAGGUGGUGUCUUUUCCGUGCUCGGAAAACCACCACAUGCAUGGUGAUUGUUACAUCUUCGGUUGGGAGGUCCAGCUUUCAGAGAAAGGCCUUGACUAGUCGCACUGUCCUUUCUGCCAACAAGAGAUUCACUUCCGACGAUAUCACUGCUUCAUCCAUAAAGAGAGCGGGCUCAUACCGGCGGUGAACAUACCUACAAAUCCUCCGCCUCCACCGGCGGUUCCUCGCCUCGUGGUCCCUCCCCCUCCCCCUCCCCGUCUUCCCCGCCGCCCUCUCGGUAUCCCGAGGCCGCCGGCGUCCCCGAUACCGGCGAAUGUGGAGAACCGCAUCCGGCGGCCGCGGGCAUCCAGGGGCCCAUACCUGCCCGGCCACCAGAGGGUACUAUAUCUAGCUAACUCUUAUGUUGGCCCUGACCCGGGGUAUGAGGCCCUCAACAAAGGCUUGGAGAUUACCCUCUGCAGACCGCUAUUUGUAAGUUGACUCAUUCUAGUGCUUGUUUGUUCGUGAUUGUGGUGGUCAACAGUGGCGGAGGCAGGAGUGUAUAUAAAUGGGGGCAAAAAAUUUUCUUUCUUUCUGCCUCUCCUCUACUCGGCAGAGCUUCGGUGCAGACUACUGGAACCGGCCUAAGGCCAAACCCGAACCUGAACCCUAAUGAAAUAAAUCAAUUUUCUCCACUUGGUCGGUGCCGUUAGAAGAGUGGCUGAUGUGGAGGAGAUCAAGACCCGAUAGGGGAAGAAGGCGUUGUGCACUGAGGAACUGAGGGAGAGGAAUUGAGGGAGUGCCGAACCGAGGGAAGAGGAAGAAGAUGAAGAAGAAUAUGAAGAAAAAGGGAGAGAAAAAAAACUGAAGAAUAAUGAGAUAGAGAGGAGAACAAGAGUUGAGAAAGAUUGAUAAAAAAAAAAAAAAAAACACACACACACACACAGAGAGUAAAGAUGAUGAUGGGGAGAUGAUCGAUCUCUAGUUUUUGGAGGAGAAGCAGAGUUGGGGUUGACUGGCUGUGGAAGAAGAAGAAGAACUGAAGAAGAGAGCAGAAGAAGAGAGAAGGAAAUGAAUUGUUUUGCUAAGGUAGAGGAAUAAUGGAAUUUUUAUAUUGCCACUUGGAGAAGUAGUGGAGUACCCAAGUUAUUAUUAAUAUGUAUUAACAUGAUCAGUGAAGCAUGGGGGCGAGUCAAAAGAAGCAUGGGGCAAAAAGAUGAUUAAUGAACAAAAUAUAUGAUUUCAUUGGGGGCCACUGCCCCCACUCGGCUUGAACUGGCUCCGCCCCUGGUGGUCAAUUAGAGUUCUUACUGUAAUAGAUUGUUAUUAUUAUUAAUAUUUUGGAUCAAAUCACGUUUGAAUUCUUAAUGUUAAUAUAUUACAUGUCAUUCUUCA